rnacentral:tRNA from 1 species
AGGGUUGUAGUUAAUUAUAACAUUUGAUUUGCAUUCAAAAAGUACUAUAUUCAUAGUCUACCUUA